ACCUGGGCCAGUAGCCGCAAUCUGCUACAACCCGUUCGACGUCUCUUACUUUCCUGCAACCCAGCCCAGUACUCUUUUGCUUGUUUGAAAGCGAAAGAAAACUGUCAUCCAAACCUAAGUUUCAUAGGAAAUAAGAUUAUGUCUACCCGUCAGAACGGUAUCGUCAAGUGGUUCAAUGACGAAAAAGGCUACGGCUUCAUCACCCCAGAAAGCGGUGCUGAUCUGUUCGUGCACUUCCGCGCCAUCGAAGGCAACGGCUUCAAAAGCCUGAAAGAAGGCCAGAAGGUCACUUUCGAAGCCGUUCAAGGCCAAAAAGGUAUGCAAGCUGACAAGGUACAGGUUGCUGAAUAAGCCUUGUCACCUUCCAAAAAGCCCCUGCUCAGUGCAGGGGCUUUUUU
rnacentral:misc_RNA from 1 species